rnacentral:rRNA from 1 species
CGUGGGGAGCAAACAGGAUUAGAUACCUGGUAGUCACGCGUAAACGAUGAGUGCUAAGUGUUGGAGGGUUCCGCCCUUCAGUGCUGCAGCUAACGCAUUAAGCACUCCGCUGGGGAGUACGACCGCAAGGUUGAAACUCAAAGGAAUUGACGGGGGCCCGCACAAGCGGUGGAGCAUGUGGUUUAAUUCGAAGCAACGCGAAGAACCUUACCAGGUCUUGACAUCCUUUGACCACUCUAGAGAUAGAGCUUUCCCUUCGGGGACAAAGUGACAGGUGGUGCAUGGUUGUCGUCAGCUCGUGUCGUGAGAUGUUGGGUUAAGUCCCGCAACGAGCGCAACCCUUAUUGUUAGUUGCCAUCAUUCAGUUGGGCACUCUAGCGAGACUGCCGGUGACAAACCGGAGGAAGGUGGGGAUGACGUCAAAUCAUCAUGCCCCUUAUGACCUGGGCUACACACGUGCUACAAUGGGAAGUACAACGAGUCGCUAGGCCGCGAGGUCAUGCAAAUCUCUUAAAGCUUCUCUCAGUUCGGAUUGCAGGCUGCAACUCGCCUGCAUGAAGCCGGAAUCGCUAGUAAUCGCGGAUCAGCACGCCGCGGUGAAUACGUUCCCGGGCCUUGUACACACCGCCCGUCACACCACGAAAGUUUGUAACACCCGAAGUCGGUGAGGUAACCUUUUGGAGCCAGCCGCCUAAGGUGGGAUAGAUGAUUGGGGUGAAGUCGUAACAAGGUAACCAAGGGCGAAUUCCAG